rnacentral:rRNA from 1 species
CGGGAAACCGGAGCUAAUACCGGAUAAUAUAUUGAACCGCAUGGUUCAAUAGUGAAAGACGGUUUUGCUGUCACUUUAUAGAUGGAUCCGCGCCGCAUUAGCUAGUUGGUAAGGUAACGGCUUACCAAGGCAACGAUGCGUAGCCGACCUGAGAGGGUGAUCGGCCACACUGGAACUGAGACACGGUCCAG